rnacentral:rRNA from 1 species
AUUGAACACUGGCGGCAUGCUUUACACAUGCAAGUCGAACGGCAGCGCGGGGCAACCUGGCGGCGAGUGGCGAACGGGUGAGUAAUAUAUCGGAACGUACCCAGAAGUGGGGGAUAACGUAGCGAAAGUUACGCUAAUACCGCAUACGAUCUACGGAUGAAAGUAGGGGACCGCAAGGCCUUAUGCUUUUGGAGCGGCCGAUAUCUGAUUAGCUAGUUGGUGAGGUAAAGGCUCACCAAGGCGACGAUCAGUAGCUGGUCUGAGAGGACGACCAGCCACACUGGAACUGAGACACGGUCCAGACUCCUACGGGAGGCAGCAGUGGGGAAUUUUGGACAAUGGGCGCAAGCCUGAUCCAGCAAUGCCGCGUGAGUGAAGAAGGCCUUCGGGUUGUAAAGCUCUUUUGUCAGGGAAGAAACGGUAGAGGCUAAUAUCCUUUGCUAAUGACGGUACCUGAAGAAUAAGCACCGGCUAACUACGUG